CAGUCGACGGGGUGCUCAUGACGGAGGAUUCGUCCAACGGAUUGAGUUACCUAGUGGCGGACGGGUGAGUAACGCGUGAGGAACCUGCCUUGGAGAGGGGAAUAACACUCCGAAAGGAGUGCUAAUACCGCAUAAUGCAGUUGGGUCGCAUGGCUCUGACUGCCAAAGAUUUAUCGCUCUGAGAUGGCCUCGCGUCUGAUUAGCUAGUAGGCGGGGUAACGGCCCACCUAGGCGACGAUCAGUAGCCGGACUGAGAGGUUGACCGGCCACAUUGGGACUGAGACACGGCCCAGACUCCUACGGGAGGCAGCAGUGGGGAAUAUUGGGCAAUGGGCGCAAGCCUGACCCAGCAACGCCGCGUGAAGGAAGAAGGCUUUCGGGUUGUAAACUUCUUUUGUCGGGGACGAAACAAAUGACGGUACCCGACGAAUAAGCCACGGCUAACUACGUGCCAGCAGCCGCGGUAAUACGUAGGUGGCAAGCGUUAUCCGGAUUUACUGGGUGUAAAGGGCGUGUAGGCGGGAUUGCAAGUCAGAUGUGAAAACUGGGGGCUCAACCUCCAGCCUGCAUUUGAAACUGUAGUUCUUGAGUGCUGGAGAGGCAAUCGGAAUUCCGUGUGUAGCGGUG
rnacentral:rRNA from 1 species